rnacentral:rRNA from 1 species
AUUGAACGCUGGCGGCAUGCCUUACACAUGCAAGUCGAACGGCAGCACGGGAGCAAUCCUGGUGGCGAGUGGCGAACGGGUGAGUAAUAUAUCGGAACGUGCCCAGUAGUGGGGGAUAACUGCUCGAAAGAGCAGCUAAUACCGCAUACGACCUGAGGGUGAAAGCGGGGGAUCGCAAGACCUCGCGCUAUUGGAGCGGCCGAUAUCAGAUUAGCUAGUUGGUGAGGUAAAGGCUCACCAAGGCGACGAUCUGUAGCUGGUCUGAGAGGACGACCAGCCACACUGGGACUGAGACACGGCCCAGACUCCUACGGGAGGCAGCAGUGGGGAAUUUUGGACAAUGGGCGCAAGCCUGAUCCAGCCAUGCCGCGUGCGGGAAGAAGGCCUUCGGGUUGUAAACCGCCUUUGUCAGGGAAGAAACGGCUCCUACUAAUACUGGGGCUAAUGACGGUACCUGAAGAAUAAGCACCGGCUAACUACGUGCCAGCCGCCGCCGUAA